ACAUUAGCUAGUUGGUAAGGUAACGGCUUACCAAGGCUGCGAUGUCUAGGGGCCCUGAGAGGAGAAUCCCCCACACUGGUACUGAGACACGGACCAGACUCCUACGGGAGGCAGCAGUAAGGAAUAUUGGUCAAUGGACGGAAGUCUGAACCAGCCAUGCCGCGUGCAGGAUGACGGCCCUAUGGGUUGUAAACUGCUUUUAUACGGGAACAAACGUCGGUACGUGUACCGGUCUGAGUGUACCGUAAGAAUAAGGAUCGGCUAACUCCGUGCUAGCAGCCGCGGUAAUACGGAGGAUCCGAGCGUUAUCCGGAAUUAUUGGGUUUAAAGGGUGCGUAGGCGGCCAGAUAAGUCAGGGGUGAAAGUCGGCAGCUCAACUGUCGCAGUGCCUUUGAUACUGUUUGGCUUGAAUUCGGUUGAAGAUGGCGGAAUGAGACAAGUAGCGGUGAAAUGCAUAGAUAUGUCUCAGAACACCGAUUGCGAAGGCAGUUAUCUAAGCCGUUAUUGACGCUGAUGCACGAAAGCGUGGGUAGCAAACAGGAUUAGAUACCCUGGUAGUCCACGCCCUAAACGAUGAUAACUCGAUGUUGGCGAUAUACAGUCAGCGUCUUAGCGAAAGCGUUAAGUAUCCAC
rnacentral:rRNA from 1 species